rnacentral:lncRNA from 1 species
GGAAUCUUCUCUGUCAGCCUGUACAUCUAAAGGCAUGAAGCACUCAAUUGGGCAAUUAACAUUCUGUUAAAAAGGAAGAAGGAAAAAAAAAUUAGUGGCAAAUACUGUAAAGUGUACAGAAAAAAAAAUGCGGGGAGGUGGGGACUCAUGACAGCUGCUUAUAGAUAGGAUAAUAUUUCUUCCUAGUUUCAAGAACCUAGCAGCAUACUGGGCAAUAGGAGAUGUUCAAGAGUUACAUAAAUUAUAACUUAAACUAUAUUAUG